GAGGUUGUAGCUCAGUGGUACAGCACAUGCCUGGCAUGUGUGAGGCCCUGGGUUCGAUCCCCAGCACCACA
rnacentral:tRNA from 1 species